CAUUAAGUUUGUAUGUUAAGCUUGUUUAAAUGUGUUAAGAACCGUGAGCUUUGCCUAUUUGGAAUUCUUAGCCCCCUUCUGUUUCAUUAAUGUCAUUUUCAGAUAUUUGUGUUUUAUAUCGCACGUGGAGUCCGUAAGUCAUUAAGAUUGUAUGAGAAGCUUAUUUUGAACUCGUAAAAAAUGUACGAAGUUCCUUUUUUACUCUGCUCAAAUACGAAAUUCCCCCCCUUCUAUAUACCUUUCCUAUGCUUAAUUUUUCGCCCAUCGGUGCAGAAAGACUUAGCGGGUGCAAAACAAGACAUCUGUCUACUUUGUGUUUGCCAGAAGCUUAUUUUAAUGUGUCGAGAACCGUGAGCUUUGCCUAAUUGGAAUUAACCGACUUAUGAAUAAAUAAAAAUGUUUUAACUCUUAGUCCAGCCAAACCAAGAUCCCGUUAUGUCAACAAAUUUUGUCAAAGCAUUAAUAUUCGACCAAGACAGCUUCUCUGUUUCUUAUGUUUUGGAAUUUUACAUGUUAAAAUAUUUUUCUGCUUAAUUUUUAAAAGGUCUGGAAAAAUGAAGAUACUCAUACUUUCAUGAUGAGUGGAUGCACAGGUUAUGAUAGGCAGGAUAUUGAAUGUGCAUUCAAGUGUUUAUAUUGUCCAUAUUCCACUGAUAUCUUGUCAAGUCUUAAUCGUCAUAUUGGGACUUAUCAUGUCAAUCCUCAUGCAUGUGUAAUAUGUAAAAAACGUUUUAAGAAUGAAGGUGAUCUUAAUCGACAUAUUUUAAAUCAUGCUGCUUAAUUACUGUAAUGUAAAGGCUAUGUUUUAUUUAUGUAAUGAGAAUUUUCUGUAUUUUUCUCAUUUCCAAAAAUAUCACAAAAAAAAAUGUUCUCUGUACAUUUGUUAAAAGAAUGGUUUUUGAAUUGUGUUAUGCUAUAGUUUUUUAAAGAUAUAACUGAUGCAAAUUCUUUUUUAAAUUCAUAUUGUCUAACACUUUUUUUUUUAUAAACAACUGAUUAUAUUUUCUCUAAGAUUUAAUAAAUGUUCUUUUUAAUAGUU